AGCUCUUUCAUGACCAGCUCCAACCGACAAGUACACGCCCCUUCGCACUCCACUAGCUAGUAAGCUGAGCUACAAGGUGUGCCAGGCACCCAGGACGCCGAUUCACCGCUUCAGUGAAGGCCCAGCUCAAAUGCCACCUCUUCCAUGAAGACUUCCGUGAUCCACAAUGAUAGCAUCUCCAGCAAUUGCUUCUAUAAUGAAUAGCAUGAGUCAUUCUGCAGGAUGUUGAUCUUCCUUUUUUUACUCCUAGACUGAAUUUUUCCACCACCUGGAUGAACAUAGCAGAAAGAACAUAGUGUUUUAGAGUCAGACACAAUAGGAAUCAGGCACUUUGGAAUCUUGGCUCUACCACCUUUGAGCUAUGUAUCCCAAGUCAAACACCCAUCAGACCUUUGCCAGGUGUCCAGCCUGGGCACUACGUUUCAGAAAAUGAUGCACAUAGAAUCCCUAACUGAAAGGAGAUCGCAGCUCAUUUGGUACAAAGUGCUUUUAGCCUGGGUAAGGAGCUGGAGAGAUGUGAAAAUGUGGAAAGCAAGCCUAAGUCGCAGUGUGGCCUAUGCCUGAGAGCCAUCU
rnacentral:lncRNA from 10 species